rnacentral:rRNA from 1 species
CAUGCAGUCGAGCGGUAAGGCCCUUCGGGGUACACGAGCGGCGAACGGGUGAGUAACACGUGGGUGAUCUGCCUCGCACUCUGGGAUAAGCCUGGGAAACUGGGUCUAAUACCGGAUAUGACCUUACAUCGCAUGGUGUUUGGUGGAAAGAUUUAUCGGUGCGAGAUGGGCCCGCGGCCUAUCAGCUUGUUGGUGGGGUAAUGGCCUACCAAGGCGACGACGGGUAGCCGGCCUGAGAGGGCGACCGGCCACACUGGGACUGAGACACGGCCCAGACUCCUACGGGAGGCAGCAGUGGGGAAUAUUGCACAAUGGGCGAAAGCCUGAUGCAGCGACGCCGCGUGAGGGAUGACGGCCUUCGGGUUGUAAACCUCUUUCGACAGGGACGAAGCGCAAGUGACGGUACCUGUAGAAGAAGCACCGGCCAACUACGUGCCAGCAGCCGCGGUAAUACGUAGGGUGCGAGCGUUGUCCGGAAUUACUGGGCGUAAAGAGCUUGUAGGCGGCUUGUCGCGUCGAUCGUGAAAACUUGGGGCUCAACCCCAAGCUUGCGGUCGAUACGGGCAGGCUUGAGUACUUCAGGGGAGACUGGAAUUCCUGGUGUAGCGGUGAAAUGCGCAGAUAUCAGGAGGAACACCGGUGGCGAAGGCGGGUCUCUGGGAAGUAACUGACGCUGAGAAGCGAAAGCGUGGGUAGCGAACA